UUAAGCGACUAAGCGUACACGGUGGAUGCCCUGGCAGUCAGAGGCGAUGAAGGACGUGCUAAUCUGCGAUAAGCGUCGGUAAGGUGAUAUGAACCGUUAUAACCGGCGAUUUCCGAAUGGGGAAACCCAGUGUGUUUCGACACACUAUCAUUAACUGAAUCCAUAGGUUAAUGAGGCGAACCGGGGGAACUGAAACAUCUAAGUACCCCGAGGAAAAGAAAUCAACCGAGAUUCCCCCAGUAGCGGCGAGCGAACGGGGAGGAGCCCAGAGCCUGAAUCAGUAUGUGUGUUAGUGGAAGCGUCUGGAAAGGCGCGCGAUACAGGGUGACAGCCCCGUACACAAAAAUGCACAUGCUGUGAGCUCGAUGAGUAGGGCGGGACACGUGGUAUCCUGUCUGAAUAUGGGGGGACCAUCCUCCAAGGCUAAAUACUCCUGACUGACCGAUAGUGAACCAGUACCGUGAGGGAAAGGCGAAAAGAACCCCGGCGAGGGGAGUGAAAAAGAACCUGAAACCGUGUACGUACAAGCAGUGGGAGCACGCUUAGGCGUGUGACUGCGUACCUUUUGUAUAAUGGGUCAGCGACUUAUAUUCUGUAGCAAGGUUAACCGAAUAGGGGAGCCGAAGGGAAACCGAGUCUUAACUGGGCGUUAAGUUGCAGGGUAUAGACCCGAAACCCGGUGAUCUAGCCAUGGGCAGGUUGAAGGUUGGGUAACACUAACUGGAGGACCGAACCGACUAAUGUUGAAAAAUUAGCGGAUGACUUGUGGCUGGGGGUGAAAGGCCAAUCAAACCGGGAGAUAGCUGGUUCUCCCCGAAAGCUAUUUAGGUAGCGCCUCGUGAAUUCAUCUCCGGGGGUAGAGCACUGUUUCGGCAAGGGGGUCAUCCCGACUUACCAACCCGAUGCAAACUGCGAAUACCGGAGAAUGUUAUCACGGGAGACACACGGCGGGUGCUAACGUCCGUCGUGAAGAGGGAAACAACCCAGACCGCCAGCUAAGGUCCCAAAGUCAUGGUUAAGUGGGAAACGAUGUGGGAAGGCCCAGACAGCCAGGAUGUUGGCUUAGAAGCAGCCAUCAUUUAAAGAAAGCGUAAUAGCUCACUGGUCGAGUCGGCCUGCGCGGAAGAUGUAACGGGGCUAAACCAUGCACCGAAGCUGCGGCAGCGACGCUUAUGCGUUGUUGGGUAGGGGAGCGUUCUGUAAGCCUGUGAAGGUGUGCUGUGAGGCAUGCUGGAGGUAUCAGAAGUGCGAAUGCUGACAUAAGUAACGAUAAAGCGGGUGAAAAGCCCGCUCGCCGGAAGACCAAGGGUUCCUGUCCAACGUUAAUCGGGGCAGGGUGAGUCGACCCCUAAGGCGAGGCCGAAAGGCGUAGUCGAUGGGAAACAGGUUAAUAUUCCUGUACUUGGUGUUACUGCGAAGGGGGGACGGAGAAGGCUAUGUUGGCCGGGCGACGGUUGUCCCGGUUUAAGCGUGUAGGCUGGUUUUCCAGGCAAAUCCGGAAAAUCAAGGCUGAGGCGUGAUGACGAGGCACUACGGUGCUGAAGCAACAAAUGCCCUGCUUCCAGGAAAAGCCUCUAAGCAUCAGGUAACAUCAAAUCGUACCCCAAACCGACACAGGUGGUCAGGUAGAGAAUACCAAGGCGCUUGAGAGAACUCGGGUGAAGGAACUAGGCAAAAUGGUGCCGUAACUUCGGGAGAAGGCACGCUGAUAUGUAGGUGAAGUCCCUUGCGGAUGGAGCUGAAAUCAGUCGAAGAUACCAGCUGGCUGCAACUGUUUAUUAAAAACACAGCACUGUGCAAACACGAAAGUGGACGUAUACGGUGUGACGCCUGCCCGGUGCCGGAAGGUUAAUUGAUGGGGUUAGCGGUAACGCGAAGCUCUUGAUCGAAGCCCCGGUAAACGGCGGCCGUAACUAUAACGGUCCUAAGGUAGCGAAAUUCCUUGUCGGGUAAGUUCCGACCUGCACGAAUGGCGUAAUGAUGGCCAGGCUGUCUCCACCCGAGACUCAGUGAAAUUGAACUCGCUGUGAAGAUGCAGUGUACCCGCGGCAAGACGGAAAGACCCCGUGAACCUUUACUAUAGCUUGACACUGAACAUUGAGCCUUGAUGUGUAGGAUAGGUGGGAGGCUUUGAAGUGUGGACGCCAGUCUGCAUGGAGCCGACCUUGAAAUACCACCCUUUAAUGUUUGAUGUUCUAACGUGGACCCGUGAUCCGGGUUGCGGACAGUGUCUGGUGGGUAGUUUGACUGGGGCGGUCUCCUCCUAAAGAGUAACGGAGGAGCACGAAGGUUGGCUAAUCCUGGUCGGACAUCAGGAGGUUAGUGCAAUGGCAUAAGCCAGCUUGACUGCGAGCGUGACGGCGCGAGCAGGUGCGAAAGCAGGUCAUAGUGAUCCGGUGGUUCUGAAUGGAAGGGCCAUCGCUCAACGGAUAAAAGGUACUCCGGGGAUAACAGGCUGAUACCGCCCAAGAGUUCAUAUCGACGGCGGUGUUUGGCACCUCGAUGUCGGCUCAUCACAUCCUGGGGCUGAAGUAGGUCCCAAGGGUAUGGCUGUUCGCCAUUUAAAGUGGUACGCGAGCUGGGUUUAGAACGUCGUGAGACAGUUCGGUCCCUAUCUGCCGUGGGCGCUGGAGAACUGAGGGGGGCUGCUCCUAGUACGAGAGGACCGGAGUGGACGCAUCACUGGUGUUCGGGUUGUCAUGCCAAUGGCACUGCCCGGUAGCUAAAUGCGGAAGAGAUAAGUGCUGAAAGCAUCUAAGCACGAAACUUGCCCCGAGAUGAGUUCUCCCUGACUCCUUGAGAGUCCUGAAGGAACGUUGAAGACGACGACGUUGAUAGGCCGGGUGUGUAAGCGCAGCGAUGCGUUGAGCUAACCGGUACUAAUGAACCGUGAGGCUUAACCUU
rnacentral:rRNA from 1 species